rnacentral:lncRNA from 7 species
UCCUUCUGCAUAUUGAACGCUGUUCGUCUGCAGCGCGCAGAUGACGCGGGGCCGGAGCGGGACGGCUGGGGCGUAAAUCACCGCUCUCUGCAAUGGCCCCAGCGGGGAACCCCGUGCCAUCGCCCCAUCCUCUGCUGAAGACACCGAAUCGCCCUCGCCCUGCGCCUGCGGACAGACCUCGGUGGAGAGCGGCGGCAGAACCCAACCGCGCAAUUUCUACCUGCAAGGCAGCAGAGUGUACAGCCCCCCACUCCCACCCCGCAUCGAACGCAGCCAUAACUCAAUGCAAACUGCGGGGAGAGGCGUUUUCCACGUGGCAGCAGAUGAUGGAGGAGAUGUCCCACUCCUCUCCGCUGCUCGUACCGCGUGGGGUCGUUCCCUCCGGCUGCGGCGGUGCCGUCCUUCUCGCAGAGGUGCAGGAAACAGAUUCCCACCUUUGGUCUCCCACCGAAGCGAAUUGCUUUUUGGCUCAGCGCUCAUCCUAACCAACUUUCUCCCCCGUGUUUAUUUCACUGGUUGCGGCCGGCAAAGAAAAUCAAAUAAAAUAACGCUGAAACG